UACGGAGGAUGCAAGCGUUAUCCGGAAUGAUUGGGCGUAAAGCGUCCGCAGGUGGCUCUGUAAGUCUGCCGUCAAAGAAUGAGGCUCAACCUCAUAAAGGCGGUGGAAACUACAAGGCUUGAGUACGUUCGGGGCAGAGGGAAUUCCUGGUGUAGCGGUGAAAUGCGUAGAGAUCAGGAAGAACACCGGUGGCGAAGGCGCUCUGCUAGGCCGUAACUGACACUGAGGGACGAAAGCUAGGGGAGCGAAUGGG
rnacentral:rRNA from 1 species